rnacentral:rRNA from 1 species
UACGAAGGGGGCUAGCGUUGUUCGGAAUUACUGGGCGUAAAGCGUAUGUAGGCGGAUCGUUAAGUCGGGGGUGAAAUCCCGAGGCUCAACCUCGGAACUGCCUUCGAUACUGGCGAUCUUCGAGUCCGGGAGAGGUGAGUGGAACUCCGAGUGUAGAGGUGAAAUUCGUAGAUAUUCGGAAGAACACCAGUGGCGAAGGCGGCUCACUGGCCCGGUACUGACGCUGAAAUACGAAAAGCGUGGGGAGCAAACAGG